rnacentral:rRNA from 1 species
CCUACGGGAGGCAGCAGUGGGGAAUAUUGGGCAAUGGACGCAAGUCUGACCCAGCAACGCCGCGUGAAGGAAGAAGGCUUUCGGGUUGUAAACUUCUUUUAAGAGGGAAGAGUAGAAGACGGUACCUCUUGAAUAAGCCACGGCUAACUACGUGCCAGCAGCCGCGGUAAUACGGAGGUGGCAAGCGUUGUCCGGAUUUACUGGGUGUAAAGGGCGUGUAGCCGGGAAGACAAGUCAGAUGUGAAAUCCCGUGGCUCAACCGCAGAACUGCAUUUGAAACUGUUUUUCUUGAGUAUCGGAGAGGUAGGCGGAAUUCCUAGUGUAGCGGUGAAAUGCGUAGAUAUUAGGAGGAACACCAGUGGCGAAGGCGGACUGCUGGACGACAACUGACGGUGAGGCGCGAAAGCGUGGGGAGCAAACAGGAUUAGAUACCCUUGUAGUC